UACAGAGGUCUCAAGCGUUGUUCGGUUUCAUUGGGCGUAAAGGGUGCGUAGGUGGCGCGCUAAGUCGGGUGUGAAAUUUCGGAGCUUAACUCCGAAACUGCAUUCGAUACUGGCGUGCUCGAGGACUGGAGAGGAGACUGGAAUUCAUGGUGUAGCAGUGAAAUGCGCAGAUAUCAGGAGGAACACCUAUUGCGAAGGCAGCUCGCUGGGACGUAACUGACGCUGAGACGCGAAAGCGUGGGGAGCAAACAGG
rnacentral:rRNA from 1 species